AGCUCCUGAGCGAGGGAGGGAGGGAGCGUGUGCACCCCCGUGGGGGAUUUUUUGGGAGGGUGCGUGUUUUCCCGUGCCUUGCCAAAGGCGUCAGCCUGGGCGGGGGGCUCGGCUUCUUGACCGCCCAGUGGCGGAGUGUGGUCUGCUGGGCGCCUCCGCUUUCGGCAUAAAGUGUGUGGGGUUGGCGGGUGUUUGCUGGUUUGGGUUGGGUUGGUUUUUUGUUUUGGUUUUGGGGUGGAUUUUGUUUGUUUGUUUGUUUGUUUUGUUUUUCACAGGAAAAAAAAAAAGUAAAGGAGCUUCCCCGGUCUGGCCGGGAAUGGAAGAGAAGAUGCGAUCUGGCUUCCUCGCCAAUGUCUGCGGCCUCUGUGCUGCUUUAACCACCGCGAGUCCUGAGGACGCAGCGUUUCUCUGUCAGGCCUCCUCCUCCGGUCGCUCACUGAUGCUAAACCAGGGGUUAUUUUAGGCGAGAGCAGCUGUGCCGGGUGAGGUGCCAGGCAGAGGAGGAGGCACAGGCGGCACUCCCACCCUUGACCGCGAUUGCCGGGCCACCAGCAGCCCCUCCCGGGCAGGGAUGGGCUUCUCCCGGGAAAGGCGAGCGCGGCCCCGGCGAGCCCGAGCCUCCGCUCCGGCACUCAGUACCACCUCCGAGGUGUCUUUCCGAUGAAUGUAACCAAAUUGCGUUCUGAACCUGUUCAAACGUCCAGUCCAUAUAGCGUCAUGCUGCCACCAGGUUCAUUUGAUGUUCACACGUUGUUUUUCCAGCUGGAAAAGGCGGUGAAAAAAUCACUAUUUGUGUGGUUUUGUCAUGAUUUUGGUACAGUUUCCAAGAUCUAUCACACCCACCUCCUCCAUGGCAUCUCUGCUGACUCAGGGCCUCUGCAGAAGAUACUCAGUGCCUCGGAUCAUCCCUCUUGGUUUCUUCUCAGCAUUUGAUAAUUUGUAGUCCAUUUUCUUUUUGCAUCCCCAUAACUGCAGUUCUUGAAUAUUAAAGGCAAAUAAUGUCCCUGGCCACCAGAAUGCAUCAGCUUCUGGGGCUGUUUCCAGGCAGCCUGAGCCUGGGUGGAUGAUGAAGAUGGGCUGAGAGAUGACAGACGGUAGGGUCCAAAGAAUUUUCAUCCAUGUGUUUGCUGCUUAUUGACCAGCACAGCUUUAUAUUUUCCAUUGCCUUAUGUUUUAUUUCUUCUGUUUUAAAUAUAAAGCUCGCAGGACUCAGAGACCAUCUUUCCCUCCUGUGUUUGCACAGCAGCAGAAUUGAGAGACUAUGAAGCUAUAAUCCUGCUGCUCCUGUAAAUAUUAGUACCCAUUUUUCUUCUCCAAAAGAGGUUGGCAGUAGGUGGCUCAAGGUUUUGUACUCUAUUUUGGGUUAUUUAUCAUAUUUAUUAACCUGUGUACGGAACAAGUCGCUAUUUGCAGAUGGCAUGUUAUUUAUUUAAAUGAUUAAUUAUUUACAUAUUAUUUAGGUUGACUCUGGUCCAAAGAGGACUUUGAAGAGCUUCAGAGAAACCAAAGCUAAACUGAUGAAAGCGGUGGUGAGGAUUGAAUUUGGUGUUUUGCUGUAAAACACAGGCAAUGAUAUCACUCACAGCCAGUACAAAGUGACACAGCCUAUGCUGGUGGGUCAGAAAGACAUCAGAAUAUAAUCACAGCUCUCUCCAUGUGUGUUCCUACCCCCUCCUCCUCUAUGGUCAGAAAAUAAUAAUUAAAAAAAAAUUGGAAAUGUAAGUGUGGUGGGAAGGCAGUAAGAGAAGGGGGGUGGUGAGAAAGGGGGACUGCCUUGUGCUCCACCUUACCGGAGGUGGCAGGAGCUCCCGGUGUGACGCACAUGGGACAGAGCAAGAGGCUGCACAAGCCCCUCGUGGGUGCUCUUGGUUUGUGCUGCCCUGAGGUGUGUAAAGAGGUGGGGAGAAAAAGACUCUUGAACCAUAAGGAAAGCAACCUUUCAGUGUGAUUUGAAAACCACCACUCUCUUGGCUUAUGGAGGCUGUUAAUUUAACUUCCUAUAAAACAGGAAAACCUACAAAGCAGCUGUAAUGUGGGGAUCCCUCCACGUUCUGUGGGAGCUGGUAUCUUACAGCCACAGAAUUUUUUUCCCCUUGGCACUGCUACAUACCCCUGAGGCAAGGCUGAAGCAGAGUGAGAGGGGAAACGGGGAUUUUUUAGACACAUUCUGAAAGACAUAUUUUGAAAGCUCUGCUUUUAUUCUGUAGUGGUGAGAAAAUCCCCAGAUAGACCCAGGAGGAAGGGCUGAUCCUCCAUUUGGAAACUAGGAUUGUGUUAGUUGGGUUUGUCCUGUUUGCUUACAAAUAGGAGGGAUGCCUCAGUAAAACCUUCAGGGUCACUCAAGCAGGGAUGGAUGCUGGUACAUUUUAACAUUGUGGCAUUUUAUUUUGUUGCCUUUUUUUGUUACUUUUGCCAUUUUCAAAUAUGUAAUGCAAUCUCUUAGUUUUGCUAUGAUUAAGUUUGCCCCUUUGGCUUGUCAGAUACUUAGAGGGAUCUCAGUUGCAGCAAUAUAAAAACAAUGGUAUCUCCAGAAACUGAAUGACGGAGCUGUGAGGAUUAAACACUUACAAUGCUUGUGCUGAAGAACAAAUGUCACUUUGGGGGUGGAAAAGUCAAGUGGUAAGACCUGGAGGAAAGCCUGACCUGGCUUAUGUUUUCUCUCAGAUCUGCGGCAGAUAGCAGGGGGGCCGGAAAUCCCACUUACUCACAUGGGAUAGUUCCGGAGAAGCUGGAUGUUGUCACACAGGAGAGGUCCAGACACUGGUGGGAAGAGGGCCUGGAACAGCUCCUGGAAGGAUGAAAAAAAGCGCUGUUCUCGGGAUCUUUGACAGAGAGUGGCGGUGGCUGCCAGCCCUGUGCUCCUGCAUCACCGUGAAGCUCCAGGAGGGAGGGCGGAGGGUUGUAAACGAAGUACAAGAUGGCAAAAACCAGCCAUAGCAACUAUGUCCUUCAGCAGCUAAACAAGCAAAGAGAGUGGGGCUUUCUGUGCGACUGCUGCAUCGCUAUCGAUGAUAUUUAUUUUCAAGCACAUAAAGCAGUCCUUGCUGCCUGCAGCGCCUAUUUUAGGAUGUUUUUUAUGAACCAUCAAAACACUACAGCCCAGCUGAAUCUAAGCAACAUGAAGAUUAGUGCUGAAUGCUUUGAUCUUAUUUUACAGUUCAUGUAUUUAGGAAAAAUUAUGACAGCCCCUGCCAAUUUUGAGCAAUUUAAAGUGGCCAUGAACUAUUUACAGCUAUAUAAUGUACCUGAGUGUCUGGAAGAUAUACAGGACACAGACUCAUCUAGUUUAAAAUGUUCAUCUCCUGCUUCUAGCACCCAGACUAGCAAAAUGAUAUUUGGUGUGAGAAUGUAUGAAGACGCACUUGCUAGAAAUGGCACCGAAGCAAACAGGUGGGGCAUGGAGCCACCAAGUUCAACGGUAAAUACGUCCCAUAACAAAGAGCCCGAGGAAGAAACUUUGCACCUCAACAGCUUCCCCGAGCAACUGUUUGAUGUCUGCAAAAAAAGCACCACGUCCAAAUUCUCUCACACAAAAGAGCGCGUGUCACACUCGCGGCGGUUUGGAAGGAGCUUCACCUGCGACAGCUGUGGGUUUAGUUUUAGCUGUGAAAAGCUACUGGAUGAGCACGUGUUAACAUGCACCAACAGGCAUUCCUACCAAAGUGCCAGGUACUACAGUGCUGAGAAAAUAGACUUUAGUGAAAAGAACUCUACUUCUAAAAUGAUCUCCACACAAACAGAAAAAUACAAGGGGGACUCGAACCAUGCUGCGGACGAUUCGUCGUCUCCCGUGUCAAACAUCACGAGCAGAAAAAGCAGCACUGUUGCCUCCGAGACAUCAGGUGAAGAAGGAAGCAGAGCCUCUGAGAGGAAGAGGAUUAUCAUCAAGGUGGAGCCAGAGGACAAUCCUACGGAUGAGCUGAAGGAUUUUAAUAUUAUCAAGGUGGCAGAUAAAGACUGCAAUGAGUCUUCUGACAAUGACGACCUAGACGAUGAACAGGAAGAGCCGCUUUACAGAUACUACGUCGAGGAAGAGAUGAGAGAGAAGAGAAAUGCUCGGAAGACUCUAAAGCCUCGCUUAUCCAUGGAUGAGGAUGAAAGAAAGUGUUUGAAAAGUCCACGGCACCUUAACAGCAAGGCUUCUUCAGUGCAAGAAGAUGUGGAGAAUGCUCCCUGUGAACUUUGUGGGCUAACGAUCACUGAGGAAGAUCUGUCCUCUCAUUAUUUAUCCAAACACAUAGAAAAUAUAUGUGCUUGUGGCAAGUGUGGUCAAAUACUGGUCAAAGGCAAGCAGCUACAGGAGCAUGCACAGACCUGUGGAGAACCCCAGGAUCUGACCAUGAACGGGAUCAGAAAUUCUGAGGAGAAAAUGGACUUGGAAGAAAACCCCGAGGAGCAGUCAGAAAUAAGGGACAUGAUGUUUGCAGAGAUGCUGGAGGACUUCAGGGACAGUCACUUCCAAAUGAACAGCCUUCAAAAAAACCAGUUAUACAAGCAUUCUGCCUGUCCUUUCCGAUGCCCUAAUUGCGGCCAGCGUUUUGAUACUGAAAACCUAGUGGUUGAACAUAUGUCAAACUGCCUGGAGCAAGAUCUGUUCAAGAACUCCAUGCUGGAAGAGAACGAGAGGGAUCACAGGCGUAAGCAUUUCUGCAACCUUUGCGGGAAAGGAUUUUAUCAGCGUUGCCACUUGCGGGAACACUAUACCGUUCAUACCAAGGAAAAACAGUUUGUUUGUCAGACAUGUGGGAAGCAGUUCUUAAGAGAGCGCCAGUUGCGGCUCCACAAUGAUAUGCACAAAGGCAUGGCCAGGUAUGUCUGUUCCAUUUGUGAUCAAGGAAACUUCCGAAAACAUGACCAUGUACGGCAUAUGAUAUCUCACUUAUCAGCUGGAGAGACUAUAUGCCAGGUCUGCUUUCAGAUAUUCCCAAAUAAUGAGCAACUGGAGCAGCACAGGGAUGUUCAUCUGUAUACAUGUGGAGUAUGUGGAGCAAAAUUUAAUUUGAGGAAAGAUAUGAGAUCUCACUAUAAUGCCAAGCAUUUGAAAAGAACAUAAGCAUAAAUAUACUGUUAAAGCAUUAAGUUGACAGCAGAGAGAACACCAAAGCAAAGCAUAAGUAUAGUAAAAAAAUUUGAAAAGGAAAAAAAAUUGAAAAUAAGUCUCUUUUUUAUUAUUUUUUUAAGACCCUCCUAACCAUAGGUGUCUAUUUAGGCUCAUUAAGUAUAAAGCUUUGAAAAGCAUCAUGUGUUUAAUUAUUACAUUUUCACUGUUUCCUAAUACCAGUUUCUGUUCUUAAUUUUAUUGUUUUACUACGUAGAUAUACAAAUCAUUAUUUUUAAACUGUAGAUUAAAAGCACAAUGUUACCCCUUCACUGACUGCUAUUAAACAGUUCUCGGAUCCACGUCCGUAAGAUGAGUGCUUUAAUAUUUCCAUGUGUUGUUUCUUCAUGUGAAAAUUUUAGAUGCCAGCAAUUAAUGUGCAAGAGCAUAAUUGUUCAUAAUCCCCAAAUUAAUUUUCAAAAUGACAAAAAAAGCCAAACAAACCCAAACCAACAAUGCCAAGAAAUAAUCCUUUGGGCUCUGACUCUGCUGCAGGGGCAGAGCUGGCUGUCCUGGUCCCCUGCUUCUUGGCUUUGUUGGAAGGUGCUUCCCAGGGGUGAGAGCACAUAGGCUCAGUUAACCCUUGCAGGCUUGGGCUGCUGUGCACAAGGGGGAAGGGAAUUAAUGACUCUUGGGAAAACCGAGGGGUUCCAGCACAGUGGUCGUGUUCCAGAUGGGAAGUCCUAGCAGAGCUGUUCAACUGAUGUUGGCCUUUCUUUCACUGUCUGUACCUCUGUGGGUAUAUUUAACCUGCUUAUCCUAACAUAUAAGGGAGGAGUGGCCGUGGUGGGUUGCUAGGAGUGCAGUAUGGCCAUGUGCACUGAACACUGCAUUUUCAGCCUAGCUGUGAACUGUGUCUUGCUGCUUGUGUUGGAAAGUUAAAAGCAGGGUGAGUGUGGAGAUAGUCCCAUUGCUUGGGACCUUAAGGUUUUUUUGCUUCUUGUUUUCAUAUUUUAUGAAUGUUCUGUUUUUCAACAAGAAUAUAAUAAGAAAAGACUGCAGAGUUUACUUAAUAAAUGUAAAGAUAUUUUAUGCCUUAUAAGAUUUCUUUCUGAUUCUAGCAGAGCCCUAAUCUGUGCAGCUUGUCUCUUAAUUUAAUUGAAUUUUAAAAUCCUACUAAGUACCAGUUGACACCAAUUCAGUGAGGCACUUUGGCCUUUGAGAGAGCAACUGGCUUUGACUCUCAGGCACCAGCUGUCUAAACGUUUGUUAAGUGUGUGAUUUGUGGUGGGGUGGAGGAAAGGAUCCUAAUACAUAAUUGUGGAGAAAACAAUUAAAAAAUAAAACUUGGUUGUACUUUCUCCCAGCAGAUCUCACUUUAUCAAAGAGGGUGGUAAUGCUAUUUCCCGCUGAGCUAUGGAGGGAGGAAAGUAAUUUAGAUCAGCAAUUAAGGCAGUUGGAUUAGAUGAUCAUUGCAGGUCCCUUCCAGCUGAAAUGUUCUAUCACCUCAUGUGCCAGUGGUGGAGUUGAGAAUAGGAGCCAAGAGCUGAUGGUCUAGUCCAGGGCUUUCAUGUGCUUGUUUCUGUCAGAGUUGAGUUUCAUUCCUAGUUUCUUGGGGAUUAUGGGGAUUAUUAAUUUUAGACUAUUCAUAGGAGUGAAUAUACAAUUCAGAAUCUCCACUUCAGCUGUUAAAAGUAGUAUGAGUUGCCUUGCAUUUAUUCAAUUUCAAAUGUGCAUUAGGAUUUCUCUUGGUUGGCAGACGUGUGCAUUUUUGCAGUGAUGGAGAAGGCUCCCCCACCAGCCCUUGGUCCUCAGCCAGCAGCUGCUCUGAGGCACCGGCUGCUUUGGGCAUAGUUUAGUGAGCUUUUAGUGUUUUGUUUUAACUGCUCAGUCCUUUGUUUUGUUGUAUGAUGCUGAAGUCAACCGAGUCCUCAACAGCACUGGAGCCAAAAGAGCACAGGCAGGAAUACAUGAAUACUCCAGCACUCCGGAGCUGGGGGCUUCAUAAACCGCACACAGUGAUUCUCUGACAUGCAGGUUAUCCCUUGCAGUAUCAGCUGGAUUGGGAAAAGCAGUCAAGGGAAGUGAAGGAGAACUGGAGAGCACUGGGGGAGCUGGCAGGAGGGUCUCUGGCACUGGAGGAGUGGGAAGAAUGACUGGGAGAAGAGAUCCUGAAUGGGAGGGAGUGGCAAAGGCAGGCAGGCAGGAUCAGAGCUGUGCAGUGGGAAGCAAAUCCCAAAGGUGGCGUGGAGGGGGUGGCUGGAGGAGUGGAUAAAAUGUCCCGGCUGUGAGAGCGGAGUGAGGAUGACUCAGCUUGGCUGGGGAGCUGUGGGCCUGAGCCAUGAGCUCACGAACGCCGGUUGCGUACCAAGCACGGCCGGCCCCGCUGCCCGCAGCGCCGCGGGGACACGGCACAGGCCAGAUUAAAGACCUUGCUGAAAGGUAGGAGGUGACCUCUGCCAUGUAAGGGAUCAGUCCUGAAUUCGGUGAAGGGCUAAGGGUGAUUUAUAGAGCCUCCUGCUCAGGAUCAGGAGCCCUUGUUUAGAGCCUAUUGGUCUGAACUUGACCCAAAAAUGUUUCUUAAAAAUGUGACUUCCUAGUGCAAGUAGACCUGUCAACUACAGAAGUUAAAUGGAGAAACUGGGAAUGAUGGUGUUUACGUGUACUAUCUAACUUUAUAAACACCCUGAAUACCUCUGUUUUUCAAUUAUAAGCUGUGUUGUUGUAGUAGCCUUUCAAAGUAGUUUGUUAAACCUUUCCAACUGAACUUGAAUUGAUGUUUUUUCCUGUUCUAGGGAAACAAAACCCAGUGCCUUGGAGUUCACAUGUAUGAAAGUCCAUGCUAAGGCUCACAAAGAGCAUGAAUUGCACUGCAGGGAAGCUUAAAAGUGGAUCUACUUACAUGUAGGCAGAAAAAAUCAGAAUGACUGAAGUAGCCUGAGAAGGGAUCAAGGCCAGUAAUGGAGAACAUAAACAAGUCAGCCUGGCUUGCAAUAGAUGAGUGUUUAAAUAGAUGAGUAUUUGAGAUGAAAUGUAAAAGCGUGCAGGAGAACAGCAUGGGACUGUUAGAGAAAAGGCCUGGAGUGACAGGAGGAAUUUGGCUGCUGUGAAAGGGGAGAAGGUCUGGGUGCUGAGGCAGCCUGGGGCUGGCCACUCCUGAAUGUUCUCCCCAGAAUGGGACAAUAUCUGCAGGGGAGUGAAAUGAUGGUGUUUCAGUGCUUCUACCAUACCAAAAUGAUUUAAUGUGGAGACAGAACAAAAACAGACGUGAAAAAAAAGCAAGAGCAGUUAUCCUCGAAGUUUUGCUGUUACUUGAAAGAUCGUGAAGGGGAAGCAAAAAUAUUUUAUUUAAGAGUUCUCCUCUCAUUUGUGCUUUUCUCUUGCCAUAACAUUGUUCCUUUCCAUCUCCUUAGUGAACAUAAGUGUGUAAAAACACUUAAUCUUUUAAACUGGAGGUGUAAGCAUUGCACAAGGCGUAGCCAGAAAGAAAAAGAUUUGCUGGAUGCCAUAAGUUAUAUUUUAAAGUGAUUUGCUAUUCUUAUUUUUGGAGGACCUCUCUGUGUUCUGUUGUUUUUCCCAUUUUGGGAGUGCUAUGGGCUGCAAUCCUAAGAAUUUUUAAGUGGCCAGCCUAGCUCUUAGCUUUCAAGAUUUACUGAAAGUUAAAAAGAGGGAAUUCAUGAAAACCUGGGAUGAGCUUUAAAAUAUCACAAAAACUAUUGAGCUUCUUUUUCAGUUUCAGAGGAGGUGUUUAAAAUGUUAAUAUAUAUAUACUUGUAAAUGUUUCCUGCUGACUUGUUAGUUCAAAGAGUACUUACAUUUGUGUAUAAUGAUAUUUGUAGCCAACAGGUCUGUGGAGAAAUCUUGAUUUCAAUAAAUAGAGUAUCAUGGAAUUCUAAGAAUUUAUGCUUUAAUUAGGGGAUUUCUCUAUGUAAUACUUUCAGUUGGUGUAAAACAUAUAAUUCAGCGUAUUUUUUAUUCAAAGCUGUAGACAGAAAAUAUAUUGCCCUGUAUUAAAAAUACAUUAUUAUAAAAGUGAAUAGUUUGACUACACGAUUGUAUUUGAAUACUCUAGUGCUAAACCAUCAAGAGUCUCAGAGCUAUUAGUGAGGUCACGAAUUUGCCCCUGGAGGCUGUGCCACCUUGAUCCCUGGCAGCCCUUUACUUCUCUCCAUUAGUUUCAGCUCUCCUCUCCCCUGUGUGCCACCCUCUCCAUUAUCAAAGAGCAUGUACCUAUGGAGCUGCACAAUGCACUGAAUCAAACAACAGGCUUUUUUCUAUUCCCUGUGGGGCUGGUUUUUGGCUGGAUCAGUUCCCUGCUGUGCUUCCCUCUCCAUCUCUGUGUCAGAUCUAGUGCAAGCACAAUAGAAGGGGUGGCAUGAGAGGAGGAGUGAGUGGCUGGGAGGGGGCUCCUUUGCUUAGAGCAUGUCCCAAAUUUAACUCGGUCUCUGUCUCCCCCAAGCAUCCUCGGGGAAGCUGAACUCUUACAUUCAUCUCCUAUUUCCUGAUAAGGAAAAAGGCAGCCCAGCCUCUUACAGAUGAGACACAUCUCUGCUAUCUGCCCUCUUCGUGAGAACUGGAAACCUUCCUGCAUUCAGCUCAUCCCACAAAUAUGCUCUGGAGCUUUCUCAGUGUUUCUUGAAGCAGACUGGGUAGUGCUCUGCACCACUGGGUUUGUGUGGUUGGCCUGGCCCGAGGCCAGGAAUGAGCUGGGCCCCUUGUCUGGCCAAACACCAGGAAUGGCUCCCACCUUCCUCUGGCCUUCCUGCCCUCCAGCUGUGGACCCAGAUGCAGCUGUGGAGCUCCUCUGUUGCCCUGUGCCCCUCACUGCUUUUCUCAGAAGGGGAGACAGUCGUCUCAUUUUGGUCUAAUGCUAAAGCUCAGGGUAAUUCCAUGUGUAAAUUAAGCUGAUGCUGGCAGUAUCUGUUACUAUCCCUGUGUGCUUCUGACUUUUAAGUGCUUCUCAAUCUCAGAGAGUUAAAAAUCAAACCUUCUGACUUCCCUAAUUCUCAGCUGGUUUGAUGCUUGUCACAGACUUAAAGACCUACAAGAUGAAGCAUGACUAAUUUGACUUUAUAAAGUCUGCUGAAAGCUAGAAAUUAGGAACAUAUUUUCAAAAGCUGACAUUUCUGUAGUUCUCAGCUAUAAACCAGUUUUCUGUAUUUUCUUCCAGCUUCCAAAAAACUCCUAAAAUAUUGCUGUGCGGUGUAUUGAGACGUGUGAGUAGGCUGAGAUUUUGUAGGAGAAAGAUGCCAAAAAUCAGGACACAUUUUAUAAAUUAAGUGUCUUUUGCUACUUUUACAGUCACUUCCACAAUUCUGGAAUUAAUUGUGAUUUUAUUUUUUUAAUGCACAAAGACAAAUCUUAAUUUGUAACAGGGCAGUAGAGCUCAUGACUCAGGAAUCACUUCAUCAUGACUAUAAAUAUUCAGCCCUGAAACAAACAGCCCAUGUUCCUUUUCAUGUACUUGAAUGGCCAGUGCCAGCUUCAUAGGAGAAAUGCUAUCAGAUCUUUAUUUGGGUUAUUUUUACCCUCAAAUAUCUUGAAGGGUGGGGAUUUUUUAUUAAUUUAAGACAUAAGAAAAUAACGCUGUGCAUCGUGCUUUUAGAAAAAUGGUUUUCAGUAAUUCAUGCAGAUUCCCUGUGUAAGAGUGGUUGGAAAUACAUUUCUAAAGUUUCUUAUUAAUAUAUUAAAGGGAACAUAACAGAACUGUGACAUGAGAACUCUUCAGAUGGUCCAAGGCCAGGUUUGAUUGUCUCUUUUGUGUAGCCAGUGUGGCACACCUCACCCCAGCAACCUUGAGGUUCAGACGUGGUCAGAAUCUUUGAUUCUUUUGCCAGAAAAUGAAAAGGUUUAAUACUUUCCUGUGCCUUCUGGCAUACUAAAAACCGUAGUAAAUCUUCCUGCAGCUACAACCACAAAAACAAUGCUGCAUGUAGAAUUUCCGGUGGGAGGAAAAAAAAAGAAAUGGUUGAAGAACUUCCCUCUCUGACAAAGUUCUGCUGCAUUUAUUGUUUUCACUAAACUUACGUGUGAUUUGCAUCAAUGACAUUUUGGGGUGUACUUUUUUUUUGUCUGCCAAUAAGACGUGACUUCAGAUAAAUAUGCCUUGUAGUUCUGUAGACAUCCCAAGACUCCUGACAGGGAAUGAAUGCAUCCCUUAUAGGCCUCUAAAUCCUGGAAGCUGUGUAGAUUGUAGGAAAUCCACUGGAAAUCAGGACUGUUGUAAAUCCUUAGUUUCUCAAUUUGUCUGUCAGGCAAAGUGCCACCAGUGUCAGAAAUUGCCAAGGUCUCUGCAGCAGCUGUGUUGCCAACACAAAAGAUGCAAAAAUCAGUCUUUCUCCCUCUCUUUUCCCCCAUCUCCCCCGAUGACAAGGUUGCUAUUUUAGAAAUGCAUCCUUUCAGCUCUUUUAUUUGCCUUUUUUUUAAAUUUGUUUUUUGAAAAGGAAGAUUUGCUUUCUUGCUGUUUUAAAGCAAUGAUUAGGGCUAAGAAGUAGCUUUUUUUAAUAGUUCUCACAUGUUCAGUUAAACCUACACAACUCAGUAAUACCUGUUCUCUCCUUUUUAGGUAACCAUCCCACUACAUUGCGGGUGGUCACCAGAGGGACUUCUGCUUCUGACUCCCCAGAAAAUGAAAGGGAAAAAUAACAUAUUGUCCUUCUGUCCAUGGCAAAAGCCCCAAAGACCAUGAAAGUUUGUGGAAAUGCAGAUAAGCUGGCUAAAAAUAGAGUUUGCUGAAUCCCAUAAAUUGCUUUUGGUUUUGGCAGCAGAUACACCAGACUUCUGGUAUCGGUUAUGCUCCUCUUACACAAGUCGUUGUUAGGGCUUUUAUUUAGGAUGCUAAAGAUGGUGCCCUGGUUUCUUCCCUGCCUGUGGGUUUCCUACUGGUACCUACUGGUAGAGUCCCAGCUUUCAAAUUACUGAGGUUCUGGUUUCUAGCCAUUGGUUAUUGAAUUGCUUAGAAUAAAUCAGAAACAUUUUAAGAGACAAAAUCUCAAGUAUCCCUCCUUUGGGAAAAAGAUAGAUACAGUGAUAUUUUAGGAAGAAGAAAUACAGGGUGGGAUCUCUUGGAACCAAUGAAGAAAUUGUCUUAGUAUGUCCCACAGCCCAGGAGAAAGCUCAGAUGUCUGAGCUACAUUGUUAUCAGGUGAAUUAAAUAGAAGUUAUGUACACUUACAUAUGCUGUAAAAUAUGACACUUAAUACUCGGCAUGCCUGGAAGUCUGAGGGUUAGCCCCACCUAGUCUGCUUUCAGAUGGAUUGUGUUUCACUUAGAUUUUACUGGCCAUUGCUGACACAGUCAGUUCUGCCAGAAAAGACAGAGGUCCUGAUGUACAGUAACUUAAAAAGUGGAAAAUAACUCAGUCAAGACACAAGAGAUUUUACAGUAAUUGUUACAGUUCUUUCAGCUUUAGUUUGUUGUGCAAAGAGUUAAAUAGUUCAAAGGCGGUUUCCUUUGGAGAAUGUUUAUUUGAUCAAGUUCAGUGUGGCUUAGACCCCAAAUAGAAAUACCAACUUCACACAGAGCACUGCUAUGAGAGAAGGAAUGAAUAGUCUGUGGCCUCCCAGACCUCACAAGCUAUGUUGGUUUGUUACACAGAGUAAAAACAAAGAUGUCCCUUAGAACAGAUAUACAUUAACUCAGUGUAUUUCACACACCACAUCUUUUAUCUCCCAUCUACUUCUCUCCCUGGUCCUUUGGGCUGUGACAAGGCCACUGAGAUCCUGUAUGAACUACAGUCUCCUCAGUGAAAAGCAUAUAUGGUGUCACUGGACCAUUCAAGCUACUUAGAUUGUUAGAGAAUGUUAGGGGAGCUACUGUUUACUAAGACUGAAGUACUACAUCCUUUGGAUUUUGGAACAGUGCUUAUCUUUGCUUCUUGGUUCCCUUUACAUUGCAGGAAGCAGGGUGAGGAAGAACCCAGUGGGUGCUUUUCUUAGAUGGAGCCUGGAAGAUCUUGUUGGCUGAGGCGUGUUGUUGUUUUUUGUCUUCAGGUCCUUAGCUGGCUGAAUCUUCAGACUUCUAAUAAAUGCACUAAGCCUUGAAAAAGCAUUAUUAAUGCAUGAUGAGAUUCACCAAGUUCAGCCACUGAACAUAAGAAUGGAACCCAUGCAGAUGCUGUUAGCUCAGGAACCUGGUAUGGAGCCAGAUCUGGAGAGCCAUCUUUGAUCUGUCUCCAGAUCCUCCUUUUAUUUGUAAACAUCCAGCUAAUCACAGACUUCCUCUGACUUUGAUGAAGUGGAAGGAGCCGCAUCCUCUGAAAGCUCUGGGAAGGGCUGGAAUUCUGCAGAGGCUCAGGAUGCGGGGAUGGGGGCUCCAGCGCCAUCUCGUGGCUCGCUGGGAACGCGCCUGUCCUUGUUCCCAGGGCUGGAAUGCUCCAGUUUGCCGGGAGAAGGCGAAGCAGAUCCUCCCGCGGCUGUGCAUCCCCAAACAGUUCUGUGCUUAGGGCAGCUGGGCGGUUUUAGUCUGCGAGGAGGGCACAACGUUUUAUCUCUGAUCUCCCUUCCUGCGGGCUGCAGGCUCCCGGCAGUGCUGGCAGCUCCUUGUGUGCUACACCCCACCCCACCACAGCUGGCACUGAUUAGCAGUGUUUCUGCUGUCUCAUCGGAAAAAUGUGAUUUAAUAUUCACAGGCAGCCCACCUUCCCGCACUCAGAGGUGGUCCCACACAGCACAGCCGAUGUAUUUCAGGGAGGUGGUGGAAUGAAGCUCAGUUGUGUGUGUGAGUUGUUCAUGAUUUGGAAAUGACAGAAAUUCUGGACUGCAAAGUGCAGGCUAACAUGGUAAUGAACAGCAAUGGCAAACACUGAUGUCCAGGGGAAAAACAGCGCUCACAUGCAUACUAUAUAGUUAGAACAUAUUUUUUCCCUCCUUUGAUGGUUUACAAAAAAAAAAAAAAGUACUUCCUGACAUCUAAGCUAGUAGUGUAAGAGUUACUUUGCAAUAACAGCACUGGUCCAGUGAAUUCCCCUCCAAGAUUUUAAGGAUGUGGUAGGCAGACAUAUGGCCUUGCUGCCAGGAGCAGCAGUACUUUGAAGGUAGCAGUUUGCCCAAGACGUGUUUCUCCUGUUCACAUUGCCCUCACGGCACAAAGCAAAAGCCUUUUGUCCCAGCUGGCCUUUUUGCCCACCUUUAGUAUGUGACAUGGCACAGAGGGCAGAUAAAAUACCAGACAAGCCUGGCCUGGCACAUGCAGUGACUGAGGGCCUGGCCACAGUGCACACCAAGGUGUGGAGCAUCACUCGAGGCUUUCCUCUCCAAGGUGUGCCAGGAAAUUCAGCCCUGGGCUGGCCUCAAGGAUGCUUUGGCAGUAGUGAAAUAGGGACUUCUAAGCUUCUGAACAACUGAGAGAACCAGAUUUGGAGAAGACAUGAGGAAGAACUGGUCGGCAAAAGAUUUCAUAAAAACUCAGAACCUCGUGUGCCAGAUCUGAAUUGGCACCACCUUUGCUUUUUUGACAUACUGCAGCAGUCGCAAAAGGCACCAAAGCAGUCAAAUUAGAACAUGCAGUAAAAGUCGUUUUGGACUCUUCUAUGUAUCAUAAAUCUUACUUCUUUGUGACUAUUACUUGCAGCUGUAAGAAACAAAUUUGAAGUCUUUCAUGGAGCAGACAGCCAAAAGAGGCAGAUGCCAGGUGUUAAGGGCUGCACUGAAAUGAAUUUGCAAAAUUUCUAUCCACAUGCUGGAGUGCUCCUUUUCUGAAAUGAGGCUUUUUAGAGUUGCUGUCAAAAACUGUGCAGAUUUUUUAGUUCAAACAUUACAAGUGUAUACUCAUGCACAAUGCUAAACUAUCAAGUGUUAAAAAAAAAGAAAGGUGAAAAAAAAAUCUUAAAAACUGAGGACAGAGGGUCCCUGAGAAAGGACAGGAUGGUGAGAGAGAUCCAGCUGACAUGAUUUCCCCUGCUGCCAUGAUCAUCAUUUGCAAGCUGAAGAGGACCUUCCAUGGAGCACAGUGCUUGUAUGUGGAGAGUAAAGAAAUGGUGCUCUGGUCUUUUAAAAAGAAUGGUGAAAAUUUUUUACCAACAAGGAGAUGAGUAAAUGUAAAAUAAUUUUCACAGGGCACAGGGUGCACGUUGUUCUCGAGCUAAGCCUUGCAAAAGCUGGCUUGAAGAGGAGAAUCAGACAUUCAUGUUCAGAUUUGAACAUUUUAGGAACAGUAAUGUUUCCAGCUAAAUUAAUGGGGGAAGGGAAAAACCCUAACUAAAAAAGCAAUAAGGCAGUAAAUGUUCCAAAUUAGGAAGCAUGAAUUAUAAAAAUAUCAAUUUCUUUUGCUUCCCUCAGACAACAGUGGAUCAAAUUAAGACAUGUAAGCAGACUAAACAUGCUGAUUAUAUUCUGCUGUAGUUACAUAUUUUACUAAUUCUACUCAUGAUUAUAAAAGGAUGUUUCAUUGUUUACUAUAACUGUUAUCUCAAGAAGAGUCUGUCUAUAAUUUUAUUUAUAAUUGGCAUCAUUUUCAUUACUGUUGUUACAAAGUGUGUACAAUAUUGUCUGUAUUGCAGCUUGUAUAGGGCAUGUGUCUGUGCUUGCUUUACUCUUUUUGAGUUUAUAAAGUUACUAUACGAAUGCAAGAAAAGAUGUUCAGAUAUUUUUGAAUGUGGUUCCUUAAUCUAAUUACGUAGCCCCCAAUGUUUCAGCAUAUAGAUGUUGAAGGUAUCAGCCUUAUUAACACAUAACACCUUAAUGCAGAUAUUUUAAAAGCCUCCAAUGCAGCACUGGAAUGCUGACGCUUCAGUCCCAGUGGCUGUAUGGAGCAAAGGGGAGGAUGGUGAAUAUCUGGGCAAAGCUGGAUACCACUGGGGACUCUGCAGGGAGAAGGCACAAGAUACCUAAGGGCAAAUGGGAUGUGCUUUCUAUAGAAAACAUGAAGGACCUUAAGAGCAGGACCACCACAAAGCAGAGGAGAAAAGGGAAUACAUUUAUAGCAUCGCCUUCAACAGUAUACAAAGUGUAGGACAUCUAGAACAGGCUGUGACUGUUCUGUAACUUAGCAAUUACUUCCAGUCUAUGUAGAGUAUCAGUAAAGACAUUCCAGGUUAGUUAUCAUCAUCUUUAAAGCUUAUUCUGUGCUUUGCAACAGUAUCUUUAAUAAAAUACUCUUACAAA